CUCACUACACCUAUGCGAGGUGUAGCGUAUGUCACGCCACUCUAAGAGGGAAUCAGGUGCAAGUCCUGAGCAAACCCGUUGCUGUAAAGCUCCCCACAGGCUAAGAUGACAUCUACCUAGAUGAGACCACUGCCCUGCUAACGUUACUAGGGGUGGGAAGGAGACACCUUAGCGAGCUAAGCCAGAAGACCUUCCAUGAUCGUUGUACACAU
rnacentral:ncRNA from 2 species